rnacentral:rRNA from 1 species
GACGAACGCUGGCGGCGUGCCUAAUACAUGCAAGUCGAACGCUGAAGGAGGAGCUUGCUUCUCCGGAUGAGUUGCGAACGGGUGAGUAACGCGUAGGUAACCUGCCUUGUAGCGGGGGAUAACUAUUGGAAACGAUAGCUAAUACCGCAUAACAGUAGAUGUUGCAUGACAUUUGCUUAAAAGGUGCAAUUGCAUCACUACCAGAUGGCCCUGCGUUGUAUUAGCUAGUUGGUGAGGUAACGGCUCACCAAGGCGACGAUACAUAGCCGACCUGAGAGGGUGAACGGCCACACUGGGACUGGGACACGGCCCAGGAUCCUACGGGAGGGCGCAGGAGGGGAACUUUGGACAUUGACGGAAGGCUGAACGAGCAACGACGCGGGAGUGAAGAAGGGUUUCGGAUCGGAAAGCUCUGUUGUUAGAGAAGAAAGAGUGUGAGAGUGGAAAGUUCACACUGUGACGGUACCUUAACAGAAAGGGACGGCUAACUACGUG